rnacentral:rRNA from 1 species
AACGAACGCUGGCGGCGUGCCUAAUACAUGCAAGUCGAGCGAGAAAGUCUCUUCGGAGAUGAGUAAAGCGGCGCACGGGUGAGUAACACGUGGGCAAUCUGCCCUCGAGUCUGGGAUAAGCCUGGGAAACCGGGUCUAAUACCGGAUAUGACUCCAUGACGCAUGUUGUGGGGUGGAAAGCCUUGUGCGGCUGAGGAUGGGCCCGCGGCCUAUCAGCUUGNGGUGGGGUGAUGGCCUACCAAGGCGACGACGGGUAGCCGGCCUGAGAGGGCGACCGGCCACACUGGGACUGAGACACGGCCCAGACUCCUACGGGAGGCAGCAGUGGGGAAUCUUGCGCAAUGGGCGAAAGCCUGACGCAGCGACGCCGCGUGAGGGAUGACGGCCU